rnacentral:rRNA from 1 species
GACGAACCGUGCGAACGUUAUUCGGAAUCACUGGGCUUAAAGCGCGUGUAGGCGGCCCGGCACGUCCGCCGCUGAAAGACCCCGGCUCAACCGGGGAGCGGGCGCGGAUACGGCCGGGCUGGAGGGGGGUAGGGGGAGCCGGAACUCACGGUGGAGCGGUGAAAUGCGUUGAGAUCGUGAGGAACGCCCGCGGCGAAAGCGGGCUCCUGGGCCCCGCCUGACGCUGAGACGCGAAAGCCAGGGGAGCGAACGGG